rnacentral:rRNA from 1 species
CAGUCGCCACGGGAAUACAGAGGGUGCAAGCGUUAAUCGGAAUUACUGGGCGUAAAGCGCGCGUAGGUGGUUUGUUAAGUUGGAUGUGAAAGCCCCGGGCUCAACCUGGGAACUGCAUCCAAAACUGGCAAGCUAGAGUACGGUAGAGGGUGGUGGAAUUUCCUGUGUAGCGGUGAAAUGCGUAGAUAUAGGAAGGAACACCAGUGGCGAAGGCGACCACCUGGACUGAUACUGACACUGAGGUGCGAAAGCGUGGGGAGCAAACAGGAUUAGAUACCCGAGUAGUCCCUGUCUCUUAUAC